rnacentral:tRNA from 1 species
GAGGGUAUAGCUCAGUGGUAGAGUGCAUGCCUAGCAUGCACGAGGCCCUGGGUUCAAUCCCCCAUACCCCUA